CGGCAUGGAAGUACUGGGCUAGGCUUUUGGGUGACCUGGGUCAUAAUCCUGGCUCGGAAAGGGCGCAUACCCUUUGGCGAGGGAUGCGGGCUGGUACCGUGAGGUUUAAGAAGCAGAAAACAUGACAGCCUCUUUAAGUAGCCCUGGGUACGUCACUUGACCCCAGUGAGCCUCAGUUUCCAUAUCCAUAAAAUGGCGAUGGUAAUUAUACUAGCCUCACAGUGUCUGAUGAGAUCUCUGGAGCCUAUUUAUCUCACGGGAAAAUUUUUGAAGAGUGAAACUAGUUGAUCUAGGCCUGAGGGAGCUCAAUCCUGGUAGCAACACCCCUGAAUUCCUGGUGGUGAGAGGAUGUGGCCCCAGGACCCAUCCCGGAAGGAGGU
rnacentral:lncRNA from 1 species